UGGAGGCAGCAGUGGGGAAUCUUCCGCAAUGGACGAAAGUCUGACGGAGCAACGCCGCGUGUACGACGAAGGCCUUCGGGUUGUAAAGUACUGUCUUCAGGGACGAAUGGUAGGUAUGAAAAUGUUGUGCCUACAUGACGGUACCUGAGGAGGAAGCCCCGGCUAACUACGUGCCAGCAGCCGCGGUAAUACGUAGGGGGCAAGCGUUGUCCGGAAUCAUUGGGCGUAAAGGGCGCGUAGGCGGAUAUUUAAGUCUGGUGUGAAAACCUAGGGCUCAACCCUGGGACUGCAUCGGAAACUGGGUAUCUUGAGGACAGGAGAGGAAAGUGGAAUUCCACGUGUAGCGGUGAAAUGCGUAGAUAUGUGGAGGAACACCAGUGGCGAAGGCGACUUUCUGGACUGUAACUGACGCUGAGGCGCGAAAGCGUGGGGAGCAAACAGGAUUAGAUACCCUAGUAGUCCG
rnacentral:rRNA from 1 species